rnacentral:rRNA from 1 species
GACGAACGCUGGCGGCGUGCCUAAUACAUGCAAGUAGAACGCUGAAGCGAGGAGCUUGCUCUUCUUGGAUGAGUUGCGAACGGGUGAGUAACGCGUAGGUAACCUGCCUGGUAGCGGGGGAUAACUAUUGGAAACGAUAGCUAAUACCGCAUGAAAUUGCUUAUCGCAUGAUAAUUGAUUGAAAGAUGCAAUUGCAUCACUACCAGAUGGACCUGCGUUGUAUUAGCUAGUUGGUGAGGUAACGGCUCACCAAGGCGACGAUACAUAGCCGACCUGAGAGGGUGAUCGGCCACACUGGGACUGAGACACGGCCCAGACUCCUACGGGAGGCAGCAGUAGGGAAUCUUCGGCAAUGGGGGGAACCCUGACCGAGCAACGCCGCGUGAGUGAAGAAGGUUUUCGGAUCGUAAAGCUCUGUUGUAAGAGAAGAACGGGUGUGAGAGUGGAAAGUUCACACUGUGACGGUAUCUUACCAGAAAGGGACGGCUAACUACGUG